AGCAGCCGCGGUAAUUCCAGCUCCAAUAGCGUAUAUUAAAGUUGUUGCAGUUAAAAAGCUCGUAGUUGAAUUUCGGGAUCAGUUGGUCGGUCGUGCCUCGGUACGUACUGGUCAAAUUGAUUCCUACCUUCUGACGAACCACGAUGUCAUUAAUUUGGUGUCGCGGGAAAUCAGGACUGUUACUUUGAAAAAAUUAGAGUGUUUAAAGCAGGCUCGCGCUUGAAUACAUUAGCAUGGAAUAAUGAAAUAGGACGUUUGAUUCUAUUUUGUUGGUUUCUAGGAUCGACGUAAUGAUUAAUAGGGAUAGUUGGGGGCAUUAGUAUUCAAUUGUCAGAGGUGAAAUUCUUGGAUUUAUUGAAGACUAACUACUGCGAAAGCAUUUGCCAAGGAUGUUUUCAUUAAUCAAGAACGAAAGUUAGGGGAUCGAAGACGAUCAGAUACCGUCGUAGUCUUAACCAUAAACUAUGCCGACUAGGGAUCGGAUGAUGUUAAUUUUUUAAUGACUCAUUCGGCGCCUUAA
rnacentral:rRNA from 1 species